AUUGAACGCUGGCGGCAGGCUUAACACAUGCAAGUCGAGCGAGCGGCGGACGGGUGAGUAAUGUAUGGGAAACUGCCUGAUGGAGGGGGAUAACUACUGGAAACGGUAGAUAAUACCGCAUACUAUCGGAUGAACCCAUAUGGGAUUAGCUAGUAGGAGAGGUAAUGGCUCACCUAGGCGACGAUCCCUAGCUGGUCUGAGAGGAGGAUAAGCCACACGGGGACUGCGACACGGUCCCGACUCCUACGGGAGGCAGCAGUGGGGAAUAUUGCACAAUGGGCGCAAGCCUGAUGCAGCCAUGCCGCGUGUAUGAAGAAGGCCUUCGGGUGGUAAAGUACUUUCAGCGGGGAGGCGUUACCCGCAGAAGAAGCACCGGCUAACUCCGUGCCAGCAGCCGCGGUAAUAC
rnacentral:rRNA from 1 species